GCGUAAACAGAAUGCACACACAGUGAGCUGGUUUUCGUGGAAACGUCAACACGAUACCAGAAAGUAAUAAGAGUCCAGGCAGACAUUUUGAAGGCGAGUCACUCAAUAAGUAAACAGAAAGUACACACAGUGAGCUGGUUUUCCUGGAAACGCAAACACGAUACCAGGAAAUAGUUGAGAGUCCAGGCAGACAUUUUGAAGGUGAAUCACUCGAAAUAAAAAUGGCAACCAAAGAAUCCGAAUCUAAAGUCCAAUCUGGAUAUGUUGACAACUGGCAGAAAGGAAAGUCAGUCAUGGAGAGUCUCGGAUAUUCACUGGAGGAAAAGAUCCUGUGUGACGUCACCUUCAUAGUGGGAGAAAACCGGAAGCGGAUACAGGCUCACAGGUUGAUACUCAGUCUGCGUAGCUGUGUCUUCCUGGCGAUGCUGACCGGACCUCUGGCGGAGCAGGAUGACAUUGAAAUCCCGGAUAUCGAUGCUGAUGUUUUUGAUCAGUUUU